GUGCUUGCUUUGGCAGCGCAUAUACUGAAACUGGAACGAAAUAGAGAAGAUUGGUUAGCAUGGUCCUGGCGCAAGGAUGAUGUGAAAUAUUCCAUAUCUUU
rnacentral:snRNA from 1 species